UGGCGGACGGGUGAGUAACGCGUGGGUAACCUGCCUCAUACAGGGGGAUAACAGUUAGAAAUGACUGCUAAUACCGCAUAAGCGCACAAAACCGCAUGGUUUGGUGUGAAAAACUGAGGUGGUAUGAGAUGGACCCGCGUCUGAUUAGCUAGUUGGAGAGGUAACGGCUCACCAAGGCAACGAUCAGUAGCCGACCUGAGAGGGUGACCGGCCACAUUGGGACUGAGACACGGCCCAAACUCCUACGGGAGGCAGCAG
rnacentral:rRNA from 1 species